GAAGCAGCCAUCAUUUAAAGAAAGCGUAAUAGCUCACUGGUCGAGUCGGCCUGCGCGGAAGAUGUAACGGGGCUAAACCAUGCACCGAAGCUGCGGCAGCGACACUAUGUGUUGUUGGGUAGGGGAGCGUUCUGUAAGCCUGCGAAGGUGACCUGUGAGGGUUGCUGGAGGUAUCAGAAGUGCGAAUGCUGACAUAAGUAACGAUAAAGCGGGUGAAAAGCCCGCUCGCCGGAAGACCAAGGGUUCCUGUCCAACGUUAAUCGGGGCAGGGUGAGUCGACCCCUAAGGCGAGGCCGAAAGGCGUAGUCGAUG
rnacentral:rRNA from 1 species